GUGUCAGCAGCCGCGGUAAUACGUAGGGGGCUAGCGUUGUCCGGAAUCAUUGGGCGUAAAGGGUUCGUAGGCGGUAAUACAUGUCAGAUGUGAAAUCUUGUGGCUUAACCACAUCAAGCAUCUGAAACUGUAUAACUUGAGUGAAGGAGAGGUAAGUGGAAUUCCUAGUGUAGCGGUGAAAUGCGUAGAUAUUAGGAAGAAUACCAGUAGCGAAGGCGACUUACUGGCCUUUAACUGACGCUGAGGAACGAAAGCGUGGGUAGCAAACAGGAUUAGAUACCCCAGUAGUCC
rnacentral:rRNA from 1 species